GAUGAACGCUGGCGGCGUGCUUAACACAUGCAAGUCGAACGAUGACGCCCAGCUUGCUGGGUGGUUUAGUUGCGAACGGGCGAGUAACACGUGAGUACCCUGCCCUCGACUCUGGGAUAAGCCUGGGAAACUGGGUCUAUUACUUGAUAUCACUUCUCAUCGCCUGGUGGGGGGUGGAGAGAUUUAUUGGUUUUGGAUGGACUCGCGGCGUAUCAGCUUGUUGGUGAGGUAGUGGUUGACCAAGGCGACGACGGGUAGCCGGCCCUGGAGGGUGACCAGCCACACGGCUACUGAGACACGGACCAGACGCGUACGGGAGGCAGCAGGGGGGAGUAUGGCACAGUGAGCGCGAGCCUGAUGCGAAGGCGCCGCGUGUGUGAUGACGGCCUUCGGGUUGUGAACCUCUUUCGGUAGAGAAGAAGCGGGAGUGACGGUACCUGCAGAAGAAGCGCCGGCUAACUACGUG
rnacentral:rRNA from 1 species